UCUAUGAACAGAAUAAGCCAUCUUUUCAGAAUAAGCCACGACUCUGCCCCUUGACUAAGUAACAUAUUUGGCAAUAAAAAGAAAGUUUUAUGUGGACACUAAGGGCCAUAAGCUCUACUUCAGAUUGCUAGGCUUGCUUUCUUCCGGAAUCUCUACUCCAUGACUUAGCAGAAUGUAAAGCAGGGGUUCUUAAGUAUUUCGAGUGCCGGGCCCGAGAAUAUGAUAAGCAGGCCUUUUGUUUCGUGUUCUUAUUCAUUCAAUGUUCAGUUACUUAUUUUCAUAAAAUAAGAUUUGAAAAUGUGGAUGAUUGAAGUGAGAGAGGGAGGCCAAUGAUGGCACGGAAGAACAGGAUGCUGGAGGGAUUGCCUCAAUUUGGAAUACACGAAAGAGUCACAGGCUCAAGGCCAGGGUAGCUCUCUUGCGGGGGGGGGGGGGAGAUUCUCGAAAAGCCCAAAACUGUAGCAUAGUAUAUAAACCCUAUAAAAAAGUUAGCACAAAAUUGUGUAACUUUGCGUUUCUUGUACCAGAAAAUCAUUGUUAACGCUAAGAUUAGGACGAUAAGUUCAUGGUAUAGCUUUUUGCUGAUAUUAAGGAAAAAGCCUGAAUAUUGUUAUAACAUGAUGAAAUGCAUUGAGCUGCCAUCUCGUGUCGUUCUUAUAAUACAGUUUUCUUUUAUAGAAACGGUUUCUUUUCUUUUACAACAUAUCCUUAUGAUUCACUUAAUCAGUGUGACAUGAUCACAGUUGAGGUUGCGCUCUUCAGUUGAGCCCUAGCCGGGGCAUUUCCUCGAAAGAUAUUUUUAGAGAAACGUGUCGUACCUGCUAGUGGUCACAACAUUCCAUCUUAAAGUGUGCGAAUAAAGGAGAGGCCACGAUAGCAGGCUGCUCGACGGACUCCGGAGGAAAUCUUGCGGCGAAAAAACGAUAAAAUAGUUCAAUCUGAAAAUCGCUUCGUGGAAGUGAGAUCCACCAAGAAUCUUUUUUAAGGCUUUCUUUUUUAAAAUCAUACCUCGUUUUAGAUGAUAAUGAAUUUUUUCUUGUCCUACUCAGUAAAGGCUGGCCACUUAGCUUGAUCCUUAAAUUGUCUAUGAGUAAAUUUUGAAAGAUGCAAAGAAGACAUCUUGAAAAGCAGCCAAAGUGAUCAUCCUAUUUUGGUAAUAAAGCAUUCUGUGCUUGUCUUUAAUUGUAGUCUUUUGAAAUAUUCAGACUGUGUCCUUUGUUGGGAGAAAAAAAAAUCUUCCACAAAUUUUCGCCUGAGCUGUCUUAGAAUUUAACAUUUAAGGCAAUAGAAAGGGGUGCGGGUUAAAAUACUGACAUGUAACGGGAUUGAGUUGCAAGCAGAUUGAAAUAACAGUUUUUGGUAUUAUCCAGUCAUUCCUAAACGAAAACAAAAGGAAAUUUCAGAUUGACUCUGAGGUAGCUGUGGAAACUUGGCACAACACAGGGUGCGCUGUCAGCUUAAACCUGAAAACUUCUCUAUGUAAUGGAAAAUCUUUCUAUGUAAUGGAGUAAAAACAACUUUUGCUAAUUACAAAUCAAACAACAAAAUCAAGCAAAACAUUUUCAUGCAAAUAUAGUUAACUGAGCUACCUUUUUUUCAUUUUGUCACUAGGAUCCUCAUAUGUUUCAGAAAGCUCUAAAAAUACAUUGGAUAAAUGAGAGCUUUUCUUCUGUUCAUUUUACGUGCAUCGUAAUAUUAUAGACCUACCGUUCCCCCGGAUCCUAGAUCAAAAUAUAUUGAUAAAACAACAAUAGCAUAUCUGUUGGGUAUAAAAACAGGUGACAAACAUCACCAACUACAGUUCUGCAAGGUGCUCUGCUGGCUGCUUCAAACAGAAUUUCCCCCGAACAAGGCUAAGAUGAUCUUACUGCUGCUUUCAGUUUUGGUGGCCUGUGUGGGUUCUAAAGAGAUCACGUGUAACACUUUCAACGAAGGUCUUAUAGUAUCAGGCAAUGUGUGCAAUUUUGAAUGCUGCUUAUCUCUAAGCCUACGGGAAAUGCUUCUUAUAGACGAUUCGGGGACCAAAGGUGACAUGGCGCUCCAGGAAGCAUCUACAAAAAAUCACGACAAGGUUGGCGGAAACUGCCCUCCCUUUGCUAAAAAGGGGAAGUCUUGCAACGAGAAUGGACAUACAUACCCACAUAAGGCUUUCAUAGAAUACGAUGACUAUCGGUCCCGCAUCUGCAACAACGGUGAAGUUUUUAAUUAUGCCAGAGUGAUGUUAUUAAGAUUUGGAUGAGCUAAACACGAGACAUCCUACAAUCAUGAAACUAUUAUUCUAUUUGAUUUAUUCCUUCAGUAAAUAAAAAUUUUAAAGCAGAAAAAAGUCGUGCUUCUUUACAUGUCUAAAAUUAUUGAUUCAUAGUAAAUGAUUGAAACAGGA